rnacentral:rRNA from 1 species
AUUGAACGCUGGCGGCAGGCCUAACACAUGCAAGUCGAGCGGAUGAAGGGAGCUUGCUCCUGGAUUCAGCGGCGGACGGGUGAGUAAUGCCUAGGAAUCUGCCUGGUAGUGGGGGAUAACGUCCGGUAACGGGCGCUAAUACCGCAUACGUCCUGAGGGAGAAAGUGGGGGAUCUUCGGACCUCACGCUAUCAGAUGAGCCUAGGUCGGAUUAGCUAGCUGGUGGGGUAAAGGCCUACCAAGGCGACGAUCCGUAACUGGUCUGAGAGGAUGAUCAGUCACACUGGAACUGAGACACGGUCCAGACUCCUACGGGAGGCAGCAGUGGGGAAUAUUGGACAAUGGGCGAAAGCCUGAUCCAGCCAUGCCGCGUGUGUGAAGAAGGUCUUCGGAUUGUAAAGCACUUUAAGUUGGGAGGAAGGGCAGUAAGUUAAUACCUUGCUGUUUUGACGUUACCAACAGAAUAAGCACCGGCUAACUUCGUG